rnacentral:rRNA from 1 species
AUUGAACGCUGGCGGCAGGCCUAACACAUGCAAGUCGAACGAGUGGCGGACGGGUGAGUAAUGUCUGGGAACCUGCCUGAUGGAGGGGGAUAACUACUGGAAACGGUAGCUAAUACCGCAUACCAUCAGAUGUUCCCAGAUGGGAUUAGCUAGUUGGUGGGGUAACGGCUCACCAAGUCGACGAUCCCUAGCUGGUCUGAGAGGAUGACCAGCCACACGGGAACUGAGACACGGUCCAGACUCCUACGUGAGGCAGCAGUGGGGAAUAUGGCACAAUGGGCGCAAGCCUGAUGCAGCCAUGCCGCGUGUAGGAAGAAGGCCUUCGGGUUGUAAAGUACUUUCAGCGGGGAGGCGUUACCCGCAGAAGAAGCACCGGCUAACUCCGUGCCAGCCGCCGCGGUAAUAC